GGGCCGAUUGGUAGGCCCAAAUAGUAAGCCCAAAUAGUAAGCCCAAAUGGUAGGCCCAAAUGGUAAGCCCAAUUGUUCGGCCCGAAUAGUAGGCCCAAAUGUUAAACCCAAAGUGGUUUGGGCCGGUUCGAAAUGUGGAUGGUCCGAUUUCUUCAGGCCCAAUUGGCCAGCCCUAGUGCUUAGCCCAAGGAUUGAGCAAGCCCAAGUCAUCAUCAUUGGGUGACAUAAUUUAUUGGCGUGCUUUUGGGGAUGAUUUGUUUUGAGUGAUGCAUCUCUAUGGUUGUGAAGAGUGGUGCAUGCUUAAGUUUUACUAUGGAGAUUUACCGUGAUGCUAAUUGAGUAGCGAAACACUUUGUGGGAGUGAUUACUGUGCUUGUAUGCCAGUACAGAGUGAUGAUCUAUGUGAAGAUCUAUGUGAUGAUCUAUGUGAAGAUCUAUGUGAUGAUCUAUGUGAAGAUCUAUGUGAAGAUCUAUGUGAGGAUCUAUGAGAUGAUCCAUGUGAUGAUUUUGUGUAAUUGAUGUGGAGUGAUGUUGAGCAGUUGUUUUGUGAAUUUACAUUGUGAUGAAAGGAUUUAGUGGCCAUAGAAAUGUAUUUUUAUACAAAGGGCUGAGGCUUUGUAGAUUACUACAGAUUUGGAAAAGAUGGAGAUUCUAUGGUUAGGUCAACCUUAAUCGAGAGGAAUUGACUUACGCUCAAAUUUCGGGACGAAAUUUCUUUAAGGAGGGUAGAUUGUAAUACCCGCAAUUUUCAUUUUCGUUUCAUGAAUUAGUACGAAAUGAUUAAAGUGAUUUUGCACGAAUAUUACUCUAAUUAAUUCAUCUUUUUGAAUUAUCGAAGUCCCGAAACUUUUCUUUUUAACAAAAGCUCGGAUUGUGCGAUUCAAGAAAAAUCGACUUUUCUACGUACGGAAUUUUGGAAAACUUCCUUCAUGAAAGUUGUAGAGCUCGUCGAUACGAUCGCGUGCAUAUGUGGAAUGCAAUUUUCGGAGCUCGUAUGAUUAAGUUACGAUUAUUUGAAAUUAGGGAUUCUUUUUGAAAUAGAAAAUUAUAUUUUCUUCUUUCUUUUUUCUUUUCCUUUCCCUUUCCCCGGUCCCUCCUCUUUCUUUUCUUUCUUUUCCUUUUCUCCCCAUGGUGCGCACUACCUCUCACUCUCUCAUCCAUCAGUUCAUGCAACACUAGAAUAAUAUCCAAUAUUUAUUACUUGGUAUUUGAUUUUGAGUUAGUGGGUGUCGGUGGCAAUCAUCCUUUCAUCACUUUUCUGCUUCUUCUUCUUGGAUUCCAUGGGGGCAGCAGCAACAAGCAGCCCAUUAGGCGUUGUCUACCGCAGAAUAAAGAAAGAGAAGAGCAAAGAGUCUUUGCUUUAAUUGCGAUGAGACUUACCCAGAAGGUCACUUUUGCAAGAAAACAAUUAUGGCCAUUCUUGAGGCACCGGCACCACUCGAUACAGAUCGCACUACCACCUUCCUGUCUUCUCUUCCUUCUCCAUUCUCUUCUCUCUCCACUGAGAUUGCUUGCUCGGUCUAGUCGGCCACCGAGUUGACUCACUUCCUCGUCCUCCAGAGCAAGGAGCUCCAGUCCGUGCUCGAAGGAUCCGAUUCGAAGUUCGUCGACCUGUUUGUAAAAGAUUUGAGGUUUUGGUGUUUGAGAAGGGUUUGAGUACUGUGGGUGAGUGAGGGACAGUUCAGAGGUCCAAUCCAGUUAUAGAGUAAUGCUUUGGCUGCUUUGGAAGCUAUUGAUUUGGAUGUGGCUGAGGAGUUCUGCAUUUUUGGGAGGACUUCGGAUCUGUGGAGUUGAGAAAUGAGAGUGAGGGAGUGAGAGUUCGGUGGAGCUUGCAGAUUUUGAUGUUGAUGAUGUGAUGAUGUUAAUGUGAUGAUGAUGUAGGUGAUGAUGAUGAUGAUGUGGGUGGUGAUGAUGGUAAUAAUGUAAAUGGAUGCUACCCUUGUGCUGCCGGAAUUGGAUGCAAACUCAUUUUGGCAUGAUGACAGAUUGAGUUACAUGAGCAUGAGGGCCAUGAGGUGCAGCAAUCAUCGAGUUCAUGACCUUGGCAAGAUUCGGGAUAAGGUGAUUGACGGUUUGAGUUGGUGGACGAUUGUGGAUCGUAUUUUGAGCUGAAUUGAAGACGCAGCGGGAUUAUCGAGCGGGUAAUCCUACAGGACAGGAGAACCAGGACGGUGAUCGUGCGGUUAGAGCAAUUGUUAGAGUUUUACAGUAAUUGUAAGUUGUGAGGUGUUUUAUGCUCAUUUAGAGCUUUACAAUAUUGCUUGUGAGAGUGAAUUGUAAUAAUGAACUCGAGGUUUCGAGAUUUGGAGUUUGUGUACCUUGUGGUGAGAUUAUAUUGAGAAGAAAAUUCAGAACGUUUAUUUGAUUAAGUG